rnacentral:rRNA from 1 species
ACUGGUCGAGUCGGCCUGCGCGGAAGAUGUAACGGGGCUAAACCAUGCACCGAAGCUGCGGCAGCGAACGUAUCACUUAAAGCGAUUCAGCGGAUGACGAUUGACGGAGCGAAGCGACGUCAAAGCGUAUACAAAGUCGAGUCGGUUUAAGGAUACGUUCGUUGGGUAGGGGAGCGUUCUGUAAGCCUGUGAAGGUGGCCUGUGAGGGUUGCUGGAGGUAUCA